UUAAGCGACUAAGCGUACACGGUGGAUGCCUAGGCAAUCAGAGGCGAUGAAGGACGUGCUAAUCUGCGAUAAGCGUCGGUAAGGUGAUAUGAACCGUGAUAACCGACGAUUUCCGAAUGGGGAAACCCAGUGCAAUCCGUUGCACUAUCGUUUGAUGAAUACAUAGUCAAACGAAGCGAACCGGGGGAACUGAAACAUCUCAGUACCCCGAGGAAAAGAAAUCAACCGAGAUUCCCCUAGUAGCGGCGAGCGAACGGGGAGCAGCCCAGAGUCUUAAUCAACAUUAGCAUCAGGAGAACGGUCUGGAAAGGCCGGCAGUAAAGGGUGAUAGCCCCGUAUCCGAAGGUGUUAGUGUUGUGAACUCGACGAGUAGGGCGGGACACGUGUUAUCCUGUCUGAAUAUGGGGGGGACCAUCCUCCAAGGCUAAAUACUCCUGAUUGACCGAUAGUGAACCAGUACCGUGAGGGAAAGGCGAAAAGAACCCCGGCGAGGGGAGUGAAAUAGAACCUGAAACCGUGUACGUACAAGCAGUGGGAGCACCUUUAGGGGUGUGACUGCGUACCUUUUGUAUAAUGGGUCAGCGACUUAUAUUCUGUAGCAAGGUUAACCGUAUAGGGGAGCCGUAGGGAAACCGAGUCUUAACUGGGCGAAUGAGUUGCAGGGUAUAGACCCGAAACCCGGUGAUCUAGCCAUGGGCAGGUUGAAGGUUGGGUAACACUAACUGGAGGACCGAACCGACUAAUGUUGAAAAAUUAGCGGAUGACUUGUGGCUGGGGGUGAAAGGCCAAUCAAACCGGGAGAUAGCUGGUUCUCCCCGAAAGCUAUUUAGGUAGCGCCUCGUGAACUCAUCUUCGGGGGUAGAGCACUGUUUCGACUAGGGGGUCAUCCCGACUUACCAACUCGAUGCAAACUACGAAUACCGAAGAAUGUUAUCACGGGAGACACACGGCGGGUGCUAACGUUCGUCGUGAAGAGGGAAACAACCCAGACCGCCAGCUAAGGUCCCAAAGUCAUAGUUAAGUGGGAAACGAAGUGGGAAGGCUCAGACAGCCAGGAUGUUGGCUUAGAAGCAGCCAUCAUUUAAAGAAAGCGUAAUAGCUCACUGGUCGAGUCGGCCUGCGCGGAAGAUGUAACGGGGCUAAACUAUGCACCGAAGCUGCGGCAGCGAUAUGUAAAUAUUGUUGGGUAGGGGAGCGUUCUGUAAGCCUGUGAAGGUGUACUGUGAGGUAUGCUGGAGGUAUCAGAAGUGCGAAUGCUGACAUAAGUAACGAUAAUGCGGGUGAAAAACCCGCACGCCGGAAGACCAAGGGUUCCUGUCCAACGUUAAUCGGGGCAGGGUGAGUCGACCCCUAAGGCGAGGCAGAAAUGCGUAGUCGAUGGGAAACGGGUUAAUAUUCCCGUACUGGUGAUAAUUGCGAUGGGGGGACGGAGAAGGCUAGGCUAUCCGGGCGACGGUUGUCCCGGUUUAAGGAUGUAGGCAGGUGAAUUAGGCAAAUCCGGUUCACUACAUGCUGAGGUCCGAUGACGAGUCACUACGGUGAUGAAGUAGCUCAUGCCCCGCUUCCAGGAAAAGCCUCUAAGCUCUAGAUUAUCAUUAAUCGUACCCCAAACCGACACAGGUGGUCAGGUAGAGAAUACUCAGGCGCUUGAGAGAACUCGGGUGAAGGAACUAGGCAAAAUGGUGCCGUAACUUCGGGAGAAGGCACGCUGGCGCUAGGUGAAGUCCCUCGCGGAUGGAGCUGAAGCCAGUCGCAGAUACCAGCUGGCUGCAACUGUUUAUUAAAAACACAGCACUGUGCAAACACGAAAGUGGACGUAUACGGUGUGACGCCUGCCCGGUGCUGGAAGGUUAAUUGAUGGGGUUAUCCGUAAGGAGAAGCUCUUGAUCGAAGCCCCAGUAAACGGCGGCCGUAACUAUAACGGUCCUAAGGUAGCGAAAUUCCUUGUCGGGUAAGUUCCGACCUGCACGAAUGGCGUAAUGAUGGCCAGGCUGUCUCCACCCGAGACUCAGUGAAAUUGAACUCGCUGUGAAGAUGCAGUGUACCCGCGGCAAGACGGAAAGACCCCGUGAACCUUUACUAUAGCUUGACACUGAACAUUGAGCCUUGAUGUGUAGGAUAGGUGGGAGGCUUUGAAGCGUGGACGCCAGUCUGCGUGGAGCCAACCUUGAAAUACCACCCUUUAAUGUUUGAUGUUCUAACGUAGCCCCGUUAUCCGGGGUGCGGACAGUGUCUGGUGGGUAGUUUGACUGGGGCGGUCUCCUCCCAAAGAGUAACGGAGGAGCACGAAGGUUGGCUAAGCAUGGUCGGACAUCAUGCGGUUAGUGCAAAGGCAUAAGCCAGCUUGACUGCGAGAGUGACGGCUCGAGCAGGUACGAAAGUAGGUCUUAGUGAUCCGGUGGUUCUGAAUGGAAGGGCCAUCGCUCAACGGAUAAAAGGUACUCCGGGGAUAACAGGCUGAUACCGCCCAAGAGUUCAUAUCGACGGCGGUGUUUGGCACCUCGAUGUCGGCUCAUCACAUCCUGGGGCUGAAGUAGGUCCCAAGGGUACGGCUGUUCGCCGUUUAAAGUGGUACGCGAGCUGGGUUUAGAACGUCGUGAGACAGUUCGGUCCCUAUCUGCCGUGGGCGUUGGAAGAUUGAAAGGGGCUGCUCCUAGUACGAGAGGACCGGAGUGGACGCACCACUGGUGUUCGGGUUGUCAUGCCAAUGGCAUUGCCCGGUAGCUAAGUGCGGAAGAGAUAACCGCUGAAAGCAUCUAAGCGGGAAACUUGCCUUGAGAUGAGUCUUCCCUGACUCUUUAAGAGUCCUAAAGGAACGUUUAAGACUAAGACGUUGAUAGGUUGGGUGUGUAAGCGUAGCGAUACGUUGAGCUAACCAAUACUAAUGAACCGUGAGGCUUAACCUG
rnacentral:rRNA from 1 species